GACGAACGCUGGCGGCGUGCCUAACACAUGCAAGUCGAACGGGGUGAUCCUUCGGGGUCACUUAGUGGCGAACGGGUGAGUAACGCGUGAGAAACCUGCCUCUCAGUGGGGGGACAACAGUUGGAAACGACUGCUAAUACCGCAUAAUGUAUCCGGAGGGCAUCCUUUGGGUACCAAAGCUUUAUGUGCUGAGAGAUGGUCUCGCGUCUGAUUAGCUAGUUGCGGGGUAACGGCCCACCAAGGCGACGAUCAGUAGCCGGUCUGAGAGGAUGAACGGCCACAUUGGGACUGAGAUACGGCCCAGACUCCUACGGGAGGCAGCAGUGGGGAAUAUUGGGCAAUGGGCGAAAGCCUGACCCAGCAACGCCGCGUGAAGGAAGAAGGCCUUCGGGUUGUAAACUUCUUUUAGCAGGGACGAAGGACGUGACGGUACCUGCAGAAAAAGCAACGGCUAACUACGUG
rnacentral:rRNA from 1 species